AUGUAAGAUUUCAAGCUACGAUGCCUACUUCGAGACCAUCCAGUCCAGGAAAAAACUACCUCGUUCGCUGCAAGAGGUUUUAACAUCUGCAUUUGCAAAAAUUCCUGUUUCAUCUUUCCCGGGAGUACCUGAAGGCAAAGGUAACAAUUCAUCGCUGUCUCAUUUAUGUGGACAAUAUAGGAAUUGAAUGAGAUAACUAAAACAGUAUUACAUUAUUAUCUGCAGUAAUUGAGAUUGGAGCAGAUGCAUCUGUCAGUGAUGCCGUUAAGAUUCUUUCCGAACACAACAUUUUGUCGGCUCCUGUGACAAACCCAGAAGCAGAAACAAGUUC
rnacentral:lncRNA from 1 species